rnacentral:rRNA from 1 species
UACGGGGGGGGCAAGCGUUGUUCGGAAUUACUGGGCGUAAAGGGCUCGUAGGCGGCCAACUAAGUCGGACGUGAAAUCCCCAGGCUCAACCUGGGAACUGCGUCUGAUACUGGAUGGCUUGAAUCCGGGAGAGGGAUGCAGAAUUCCAGGUGUAGCGGUGAAAUGCGUAGAUAUCUGGAGGAACACCGGUGGCGAAGGCGCACAUCUGGCCCGAUACUGACGCUGAGGCGCGAAAGCUAGGGGAGCAAACGGG